rnacentral:rRNA from 1 species
GAUGAACGCUGGCGGCGUGCCUAAUACAUGCAAGUCGAGCGAACGGACGAGAAGCUUGCUUCUCUGAUGUUAGCGGCGGACGGGUGAGUAACACGUGGAUAACCUACCUAUAAGACUGGGAUAACUUCGGGAAACCGGAACUAAUACCGGAUGAUAUUUUGAACCGCAUGGUUCAAAAGUGAAAGACGGUCUUGCUGUCACUUAUAGAUGGAUCCGCGCUGCAUUAGCUAGUUGGUAAGGUAACGGCUUACCAAGGCAACGAUGCAUAGCCGACCUGAGAGGGUGAUCGGCCACACUGGAACUGAGACACGGUCCAGACUCCUACGGGAGGCAGCAGUAGGGAAUCUUCCGCAAUGGGCGAAAGCCUGACGGAGCAACGCCGCGUGAGUGAUGAAGGUCUUCGGAUCGUAAAACUCUGUUAUUAGGGAAGAACAUAUGUGUAAGUAGCUGUGCACAUCUUGACGGUACCUAAUCAGAAAGCCACGGCUAACUACGUG